AUACGGGGGAUGCAAGCGUUAUCCGGAAUCAUUGGGCGUAAAGCGCCUGUAGGUUGUUUAAUAAGUCUGUUGUUAAAGACUAGGGCUUAACCCUAGGAAAGCAAUGGAAACUACUAGACUAGAGUAUGAUAGGGGUAGAGGGAAUUUCUAGUGUAGCGGUGAAAUGCGUAGAUAUUAGAAAGAACACCGGUGGCGAAGGCGCUCUACUGGAUCAUUACUGACACUCAGAGGCGAAAGCUAGGGUAGCAAAAGGGAUUAGAAACCCUAGUAGUCC
rnacentral:rRNA from 1 species